GAGUUUCUAAGAAAGGAAUCUAGUGAGCGCACGGCAGCGUGUCCGGUUAGUUGGGAAGAAGAGGCUUAACACUGCUGCUUUCUCUUCAAAGCCUCCACCAGGUCGUUCUUAAGAGCUUCUUGUUUUGAUUUGUCUGCAAAAGUCUGCACAGACCUGUCCGGGGAGAAGAAUUGUCAUUAGCAGGCUGAACAGGAAGAGUGCAGCGGCGAGGGGCCGAGGGCUGCCCUGCCGGUGCGUCCAGGGCGAGGGGCCGGGUCACUGGGCUGGGUGCCCCCUUCCCCAUCCUCUGGGAGUGCGAGCUGCAAGCUGUGCGGAGGGGGCAGAGGGGCCCAGAGCCCGAGGCCGGCCCCGCGGGGGAGGCCACGGCCCACCUCUGCACCAGGCUGGGCAUGACCUGGACUCUGGGGCACAGAUCCCAAUGUCAGCCUGAAUCAGAAGUGGGCCUCCAAGCACGCCACAGCAGAGACCGUCUGUGCUUCAGCCCAGCUGUGGACUCAGGCCAGAGGCCGAGAGAUAAGGACCCCGUUACAAAGCACGGGGUGCAGGGCUGGCCACCCGGCGAGCAUUAGGAACCGGCACCUCGGACGUCUGAGCCCACUGCCUGGGCAGCACCUGCGGGCAGGCACUUUUAGGCUUCGGCUGCAAGGCACCAUCAGCUGUUAACUUGGCCAAGAAAAUCCCUCAGCCUGAACUUCAAGAGGCAGGAGGGGACAGUUUCAAAGCAGUGGAAAGAAAGAGUGGAAGGCUACCUUGCAGGAAUGCUGUGGAGCCACGGGAAUGUCACGCUUGACACGCACUGGCCGUGAAACAGAAUGGGAAGGAGAGACCCAAAAAUAAUCCCCCCCCCACCGAAUAUGGGUGAAAUGCAAUGAAGCAGGACCCAGGAGCAUCCCACGUGGAAUUCUGGCUACUGAGUCCUGGAAACGUCAUGGGAAGUGCCCUCGAGAUGGUAAAGGAGGAGGCAGAGACGAGGCUUUGAAAGAGUCUAUGCGCAGCUACAAAAAUUCCCACGAGAAACGCUGACACUUUUGGUUGAUGCCGCUGAAUACACUUUCCGGAGUGUUUGCUCUGCUCUGCUCUGCGACGGCCAAAGGGAGGGUCAGGCACCGGCCCUGGUGGCCCUCGGGCUGCAAACCUCAGCCAGCCCACCACGGGCUUCUGGAAAGCUCCCAGUGGGAGGCUAACUUGCCCAGCGGGAGGAUGCGGUGGGCGGAGUGGUGGCUCCCACGGCACCCCGGCCUGACUGGGGGCUGGCUCUUCUGGGAAGGGGCACGCCAGGCCUGGGCUGCACCCAGCCCCCCGCUACCCCCCAAAGGAGAAAUUUCCAGAGUUAGAACCAGGUAAGGAACAGGAGGUCAGGCUUGGAACGGCUGGAGGUGCAAGGAGCAGGACCCUCGUUUAGGGAAAGGAGCUCGGGAAGGUCACUGCCAAGCAGCUCGGAACCAAUGCCUGGAGGUGGGAAGGAGGGCCUGUCCUGGACAGAAGGUGCCAGGCUGCCCACUGCUGCAGGGGAUCUAUGUCAGAAAGCCUCCAGUGGGUGGCCACAGGACUAGCCGAGGUGAGGGAUCCAGAAGAUUCUAGACCCACCCUAAAAGCUGAGGGGCUGGAGAGGAAACUGCACCAUAUGGAACGCCUUAAAAGGGGCUUUCUUAAUGCUCUGAUGGGAGUGCAACGGUCCGAGCAUGAGGCUGGAGGCUGACAGACGCCCCAGGCCUGAUGCUGGUACACACACACACACACCAGACUGUGCUGCGGUCCCACGGCUGCAGAAGAGCCGCUCCGCCUGGUUGCACAGGCGCCCCACCUCUGUCCCCCCCACUGGGCCUCUUCCGGGUCAGGGUCUCCGAGUCCAGCCCCUGGGCCUGGGAAGAAGCCCCUAAGCCCAGGCCCUACAGCCCUGCCCAGCUGGGUUUCCAAACGCCUCUUAUUAAAACCAGUUUCCCUGCUC